AGUCCUGGAAAUGAUCUUGAUGCUAUCUGUUCCUCGUUACAGCAGACCUGCUCAACUUCAGCAGCUAGAAGGAGGAUUGUCUUUCACCAGCUGCAGGAGCCUGUUCCCACUACAGUGAGAUAAUAAUUUCGUUUUUUUCAAGCCAAGAAGUAUUUAUUGAAAGCCAGCUAUGUGUUUUGUUUUAUUAUCUCUUGAUUUAAAAUCUAGCAUUUUGCUGCUGUAAGGGAACUUAGAGUUCUUCUAUCUAUCAUUAUCUCCAGUUCUAUUUAAUAGGGAGAGAUACUGAGGCUUAGAGAGGAAAGGUUACCUGGCUAAUACUAUUCACCGAGUUUGUAGCAGCAACCGUAUUUAAGACCAGACUUCCCAGCUACAAACCACCUCCUUCACGCUCAGUGGUGCUCCAAGGCAGCUGGACUAUAAGCAUCUCGAGCACACAGAUGUGGUCCCAUUCUUCAAGUCUUGACAUAGCAAAAUGCCUUUUUAGAUUCUCUAAGAGAUGUGCAAUUGAUUGAUGAGUAAACUGACUUUAUUUUUUAAAUUCUGAUUUAAAAGGAGCCUGGUGGAGUCUUCGGAGCAGAUGUGACUGUCCUACUUGUAUAGAGAAGAGAAACUGAGGCUCAGAAGAGAUGCCUGGCUGAGUUUAAUAGGACUGCAACAACAAUUUUGCCUUUCUACUUUCUGGUACAGUGGUCUUUCCUUUGCCAUCAUGCCUCAGCAUAUCCAUGUUAGUAAAUUCUCCCAGUUGGGGAAAAGCUUGGCAGCAAUGAAAGUUAAUGUGAUGAAUCAUUUAGAUGGACAGAUUGGAAAAAUGUUGUUCCUUUUGCAUGUGAUGUUCUUGCCAGAAAUCAAGUAGGUGGAGUUUUUGAAGCGUGAUCAGUUAGAUAAGUAUGGUGGUUUUAAAUAAUCAAGCAUGGAGCCAUACCGGUUAUGUUUAAUUUAUAACAAAAUCAGACAAUUCAGGCAUGAUGUUGAACUCAUUGAGCUUGGCUCACUACUACAUUUCUCUCACCAAAAGCAAUGACUAUAAAGAGUUACAAAUACCAUGA
rnacentral:lncRNA from 10 species